rnacentral:rRNA from 1 species
GUUCGAUUCUGGCUCAGAUUGAACGCUGGCGGGAUGCUUUACACAUGCAAGUCGAACGGCAGCACGGACUUCGGUCUGGUGGCGAGUGGCGAACGGGUGAGUAAUGUAUCGGAACGUGCUAGUAGCGGGGGAUAACUACGCGGCGUAGCUAAUACCGCAUACGCCCUUCGGGGAAAAGCGGGGGACCUUCGGGCCUCGCACUAUUAGAGCGGCCGAUAUCGGAUUAGCUAGUUGGUGGGGUAACGGCUCACCAAGGCGACGAUCCGUAGCUGGUUUGAGAGGACGACCAGCCACACUGGGACUGAGACACGGUCCAAGACUCCUGCAAGGGAGGCAGCAGUGGGAAUUUUGGACAAUGGGAAACCCUGAUCAGCCAUCCCGCGUGUGCGAUGAAGGCCUUCGGGUUGUAAAGCACUUUUGGCAGGAAAGAAACGGCACGGGAUAAUACCCCGUGCAACUGACAGCCUGCAGAAUAAGCACCGGCUAACUACGUGCCAGCAGCCGCGGUAAUACGUAGGGUGCAAGCGUUAAUCGGAAUUACUGGGCGUAAAGCGUGCGCAGGCGGUUCGGAAAGAAGAUGUGAAAUCCCAGAGCUUAACUUUGGAACUGCAUUUUUAACUACCGAGCUAGAGUGUGUCAGAGGGAGGUGGAAUUCCGUGUAGCAGUGAAAUGCGUGAAUAUGCGGAGGAACACCGAUGGCGAAGGCAGCCUCCUGGGAUAACACUGACGCUCAUGCACGAAAAGCGUGGGGAGCAAACAGGAUUAGAUACCCUGGUAGUCCACGCCUAAACGAUGUCAACUAGCUGUUGGGGCCUUCGGGCCUUGGUAGGCCGCAGCUAACGCGUGAAGUUGACCGCCUGGGAAAUACGGUCGCAAGAUUAAAACUCAAAGGAAUUGACGGGGACCCGCACAAGCGGUGGAUGAUGUGGAUUAAUUCGAUGCAACGCGAAAAACCUUACCUACCCUUGACAUGUCUGGAAUCCCGAAGAGAUUUGGGAGUGCUCCUGCAAGAGAACCGGAACACAGGUGCUGCAUGGCUGUCGUCAGCUCGUGUCGUGAGAUGUUGGGUUAAGUCCGCAACGGCUGUCUUGUCAUUAGUUGCUACGAGGCACUCUAAUGAGACUGCCGGUGACAAACCGGAGGGGAAGGUGGGGAUGACGUCAAGUCCUCAUGGCCCUUAUGGGUAGAGCUCACACGUCAUACAAUGGUCGGGACAGAGGGUCGCCAACCCGCGAGGGGAGCCAAUCCCAGAAACCCGAUCGUAGUCCGGAUCAUGAUCUGCAACUCGACUGCGUGAAGUCGGAAUCGCUAGUAAUCGCGGAUCAACAUGUCGCGGUGAAUACGUUCCCGGGUCUUGUACACACCGCCCGUCACACCAUGGGAAUUGGGUUUACCAGAAGUAGUUAGCCUAACCGUAAGGAGGGCGAUUACCGGUAGGAUUCAUGACUGGGGUGAAGUCGUAACAGAGUAG